AAUGAAUAUUAACUUGUAAAAAGAGUCAGAGACUUGGACUGGGUUUACUUGGUGGGUGGGGCUGAGGCUAGGGAUGGGGGUUGUGGUUGAUGAGACUCAAGGGCUAUUGUCUUAGAGAGAAGCAAACAUUAGCACAGAGUUUCCCAACCUUGGCUGCAAAUAGAAUCACCCAAGGGGCUUCUGUAGCUUACCAGUUCCUGCACUGCACUACCAGCAAUUUGCCUGGGGUGGGACUUUCCCACGUUAUUCUAAUAACCAGCCAGGACUGAGAAUCAUUGAUGUAGUGAAAACAAUUCAUGUUUUGGAGUCAGACAAAUGAGACUUUGAACUAGCUGCGUGUCCUUGAGCUUCAGAGAUUUUUUUUUUUUGUCUGUAAAAAUGAGGUUAAUCAAAGCUGCAUGAUGUGAGUGCCUGUGGGCCUGAGAAUCUGGAAGACUGCAGGGGUCUGGUGGUUUAAGCCAAAGUGAAUUCUUCUCUGAGCACUGAUAGGAUUGCCCAUAAGAAGAAAUCAUCUCUUCAGCCUUCUCAUCCUCCACAGGAACAGAAGGACACGUCCCAAGUGGCGAGCUGUGCAAGGCCACAGACACAAGUGAAGUGGAAGAGAUCUUGCAACAUUUCCUGCCCCACUGACCCCCUACUUUGGGCCUUAGCCCCAAGAGAAGAAGUAUGACUACCCUACUGUUCACAAACAAAGAUGUGGAAUCAACCUAAGUGUCCAUCAAUGGAUAAUUGGAUAAAGAAAAUGUGGCAUAGAUCUAUACAAUGGAAUACUAUUCAGCUAUAAAAAAGACUGAAAUCACAUCUUUUACAAAAACAUGGAUGAAACUGGAGGCCAUUCUCUUUAAGUGAAAUCACUCGGAAAUAGAAAGUCAAAUACCGCAUGUUCUCACUUACAAGUGGGAGCUACAUAAUAUGUACUCAUGGACAUAGAGUGUGGAAUGAUGGACAUUGGAGACUUGGAAGGGUGGAGGUGGAUGGGAGGGGUUGAGGGAUGAGAAAUUAUUUAAUAGGUACAAUGUAUAUUAUUUCGGUGAUGGUUACACUAAAAACCCAGACUUCACCACUGGGCAAUAUAUCCGUGUAAUAAAACUGCAUUUGUACCCCUUAAAUUUAUACAACUAAUAAAUAAAGAAGUAUGGCUACUCUUCUAGAGAAAUAACAUGGAGAGGUCCUGAACAGCAGCA
rnacentral:lncRNA from 10 species